rnacentral:rRNA from 1 species
CUUACAGCUUGAACGGUAAGAAUGGCCAUUGAUACGGUUGCUCAAGAGUAAUACUCGGGGGAAAGUGGAAUGCGAAAGGUAGCGGUGAAAGGCAUAGAUAGUACGCAGAACACCGAUCGCGAAAGCAGCAUCCUAGGCUAUGACUGACACUGAGGCACGAAAGCGUGGGGAGCGAACAGGAUGAGAUACCCUGGUAGUCCACGCCGUAAACGAUGCUCACUCGCUGUUGGCGAUAUAUGGUCAGCAGUUAAGCUAAAGCAUUAAGUGUGCCACCUGGGAAGUACGUCCGCAAGGAUGAAACUCAAAGGAAUUGACGGGGGCCCGCACAACCGGUGGAACAUGUGGUUCAAUUCGAUGAUACGCGAGGAACCUUACCUGGGCUUAAAUGUAGUUUGACUUCCGCCGAAAGGCGGUUUUCCUUCGGGACAAAUUACAAGGUGCUGCACGGCUGUCGUCAGCUCGUGCCGUGAGGUAUCGGGUUAAGUCCCUUAACGAGCGCAACCCCUAUUGUUAGUUACCAACAGGUUAAGCUGGGGACUCUAGCAAAACUGCCAGCGUAAGCUGGAGGAAGGUGGGGAUGACGUCAAGUCAGCAUGGCCCUUAUGUCCAGGGCUACACACGUGUUACAAUGGCCGAUACAAAGGGCAGCCACCACGCGAGUGGGAGCUAAUCCUUAAAAUCGGUCUCAGUUCGGAUCGAAGUCUGCAAUUCGACUUCGUGAAGGUGGAAUCGGUAGUAAUCGCGCAUCAGCAAUGGCGCGGUGAAUACGUUCCCGGGCCUUGUACACACUGCCCGUCAAGCCAUGGAAAUCGGUGUUGCCUGAAGUCCGUAACCAUCCAGGAGCGGCCUAAGGCAAAA